UACGUAGGGCGCAAGCGUUGUCCGGAAUUACUGGGCGUAAAGGGUUCGUAGGCGGCCAACUAAGUCGGAUGUGAAAUCCCCAGGCUCAACCUGGGAACUGCAUCCGAUACUGGAUGGCUUGAAUCCGGGAGAGGGAUGCAGAAUUCCAGGUGUAGCGGUGAAAUGCGUAGAUAUCUGGAGGAAUACCGGUGGCGAAGGCGGCAUCCUGGACCGGCAUUGACGCUGAGGAGCGAAAGCUAGGGGAGCAACGGG
rnacentral:rRNA from 1 species